GACGAACGCUGGCGGCGUGCUUAACACAUGCAAGUCGAACGGAAAGGCCCUGCUUUUGUGGGGGGCUCGAGUGGCGAACGGGUGAGUAACACGUGAGUAACCUGCCCUUGACUUUGGGAUAACUUCAGGAAACUGGGGCUAAUACCGGAUAGGAGCUCCUGCUGCAUGGUGGGGGUUGGAAAGUUUCGGCGGUUGGGGAUGGACUCGCGGCUUAUCAGCUUGUUGGUGGGGUAGUGGCUUACCAAGGCUUUGACGGGUAGCCGGCCUGAGAGGGUGACCGGCAACAUUGGGACUGAGGUGCGGCCCAGACUCCUACGGGGGGCAGCAGUGGGGAGUAUUGCACAAUGGGCGGAGGCAGGAUGCAGCAACGCCGCGUGCGGGAUGACGGCCUUCGGGGUGUAAACCGCUUUCGCCUGUGACGAAGCGUGAGUGACGGUAAUGGGUAAAGAAGCACCGGCUAACUACGUG
rnacentral:rRNA from 1 species